UCCGGCUUAACGCCGGCGGUCUCUCUAGAGUGCCCAACUGAAUGGUGGCAACUAAAGAUAGGGGUUGCGCUCGUUAAGGGACUUAACCCGACAUCUCACGAUACGAGCUGACGACAGCCAUGCAGCACCUGUCUCUCUGCCCCCGAAGGGGAAACCGUAUCUCUACGGCUGUCAGAGGAUGUCAAACCCAGGUAAGGUUCUUCGCGUUGCAUCGAAUUAAACCACAUGCUCCACCGCUUGUGCGGGCCCCCGUCAAUUCCUUUGAGUUUUAGUCUUGCGACCGUACUUCCCAGGCGGAGUACUUAAUGCGUUAGCGUCGGCACUGCUAGGCUCAAACACCUAUACAACGCCUAGUACUCAUCGUUUACGGCGUGGACUAC
rnacentral:misc_RNA from 1 species